CUGUCUAGAAUCCCAGUACUCCAGGUCCUUGGACUUUUUUGAUUCUGAAUUCUUCUAAUGUCUUCUGUUACCUCUGAGAAGAAGCCAUCCUUUAUCCUGUUCUAGAAAAGUGAUACACCAAGCUUUAGGAAAGAUGAUGAAAGAAAAGAAAUGGGCCCAGAGGGACCUAAGGAAACCAGGCCAAACUUGCUGUUCACGUGGACCCUUACAGGGAGAAUGGAAGGCAAAAGCAGAGAACUGGGUCCAAUUUUCUUUCUCAGUGCUAUCUGUGCAGUGGUCAGAUGUGGCACUCACAACCAAAAGGCUUUUGAAACAGCACUGGUUUGGCUACAGACCUUGAUGUGUGUAUAAUGAAACUUGAAAGGUCUCAGAGGAAGGAACAGUGGUGUAGUGGACGCAGGGGACAGCUGUUCCCUGUUGGGAGACAAUUCUGCAUGGGCCCUUUGUAUUUCUGCACAUCUUGCAAGUAGAGACACUAACUGCAUUUGUGCUGGAUUAGAUUUUCAAGUAAACUGCUUUGGAAGAUGAUAGUGUCUCCCUCUAUAGCAUGAGCAGGUUUGUUUGCUCUUAAACAUGAUAAUAGCUUCUGCUGGGGCAAAGGUAAGGCCGACUUAACUGACCAUUAUAAAAGAUUCAUGUUGGGGAUUCGUUUUUGUAACACAACCCGUGUGUGUGUGUGGGUAUGUGUGUGUGUAAGUGUGUUCGUGCGUGCUUGCAGGUGUCAUCUGCCCCCCUUCUUAUUUUCCUAUGGGAAUUGGGAAUCUGGUGCAAAUGCUGAUACUGUAGCUACUGCUAUUGCUGUGAGUAAUAAACUAGGCUUUGUCUCUAACCCAAGAGUCUUGUGUCUUUUGCCAGCAUUCAUGAAACUGUGGUAGACUAAUUUGUUAACCUGCAAAUAGGGGAAAAAUCUCACAUCCUUCGCAGGUCUUGACAUGAGUCAAGUGACAAACCAAAAAAUGGGGACUUUUUAGUUGAGAAAGACAAAGACCAAAGGGGUAGAGGAUAAGGCUGAAGUAUAUAAAAUCAACAAAAGUAAACUUGGUUGUAUUCACCAGUCUUGAAUAUCAAGUGAAGGGAUGAAUCCCUGAUGUUUGAGAGAGGUAAGUUUAUGUCAAUAGAAAGGAAUUUCUUCACAUACAGGAUACUAACCUUAUAGAACUUACCAUCUCAAUAAAUGGUGCUGGCUGAAACUACAAAUUAUUUUAUAAAAGGCCUCACUAAAGUGAUGGAUGACAAACCUAGAAUGCCCAGUUCAAUACGUAUUGGAUGACCGAGUGUUUGCCAAGUGACCAUCUAUAAGAUGAUCUCAUUAUCUGUGUCAGAGAAGAACUACUGGGAAAAAUCAUUAAUUUGACCUAACAAGGACCAUUUUUAAUCUACAAAGUGAGAAAUAGACUCUUCACUGCUUUAUCUAGUUUUAGUUUUUACUAUGGAUACACAUACAUAAACAUAUACAUUUGGGAUAUGUAAGUAUAAAAAUCUCCUUUACAACAAGCUACAAUUCAUAAUCAUCUUAAUUCAUAAAUGUUAAAUAAUAAUGGUAAAAUAUGCUCCUAUUUUAGGGCAGUUGUUUCCCAAGCUGGAUGUGAAGAACACUUCCAGGAAAUUUUAAGAGGCA
rnacentral:lncRNA from 1 species